UCAGCUGCAAAUUUUGGCCUUUUCUUGUUUAAAGACCAUUGUUCAACUACUUCCUAUAGAAAUCCAGGUCAGUGACAUCUGUGGAGAGAAAUAAGUGGUUGGCCAGAAAACAUGAACUUUUCAUCAGAACUGGGAGAUGUCACAAAUGAGCAAUUUUUAAGCAAAUACAGCAUUGGGAAGAGGGUUGGGGAGAUGGAGAAGCCAAAUAAAAAGAACAUCUGUGAUCAGAUUCCAAGGGCCUAGUUGUGCUCCAACACCUGAUCCAUAUGGCCAUUGUUUGUACAGCACCUCAUCUAUGGAGUUCAGCCAGAGAUUCAACUGAGAACAUCAUAACCAAACUUUUACUUCUGUCACACUUUCAAACAUGUGCAAACAUGUUUACUCCCAGUGCUGCAAAACAGGAAUGCAUCACCAGUGGCAACUGGUGCACAUGGCCUUUUUAUUGCAGGAAGGAGCUCCAGUUUGUGAAUUUUCGCAACUUGGUUAGGAUUAUUAAUGAUGGAAGUUUUCAAUUGAAUUUAAUAUUCACAGCAGACAAACAUGUAAAUUGACAACUGACUCUCACACAAAUGAUCUGUUUUACAGUCCUCCAGUCUCAGUACUCAGCCACAAUAUAACUUUCUUUUGAGUCUGAAGUGAUUACUUGGUCAUUUGUCAUUCAAGUCACACUGGCUACCAGGGGUGAACUCUAAACUGUCACUACUGUUUCAUUUAAUGACAUCAUGCUAUAAAAGAAGUGACUAAUCACUUGGAAAUCCAGACUGUAACUAACUUGAGGUUCUGGUAAACAAGCUGACUUUGUUUUUGUCCUGUCAUAACUUCAUACUUUCACUGCAUUCAAAAAUAAGGAUGUGGCAGCAUGUUAGAUUGCUUGAACGUCCUUUGUGUGUGCCUUUUUUUAAUUGUCUCUGCUACCUUCCUCUGUCUAGGGAACUCCUAUAACUUAUGUGUGUAGUAAAGGUGAGUUAACACUAAUAUUACUUUCUCUGCCUCACAUAUAUAUGCCAAAGUACAUAUGGGCACAUGUAUAGAGCUGCAGACAUACACAUUUGCAAAUAAAAAACAUUUGAGCGUGGCCUUACAAAUGUUGGAUACCUAUGCACAA